GGGCUCCGCGCGGCUGAGGCCCUGCCGGGUCGGGUGGGCUCGUGUCCGCGGACGGGAGCGGGGAGUCCUCCCCUCCCCCAGCGCCGUGCGCCCGCCGCGUCCCGGCCCGCAGGGCGGGCUCUCGGUCGGGACUCGGGAGGCGCGGCGCGGCCGGGGCGGGGCUGCGGGCGGCGGGAGGGCUGCGCCCCCCGAGCGUUCGCGGGGAGCGCGGGGCGCCUGGGAGCAGCGCGCGCAGCUCUCCGGGGAACGAAAGGGUGGUCUGGGGACGUUGUGUCCGGGGCUCGUGCUGACCCCUGUGUAGGGGGCUUUCGGAAGACCCCGUUUCCUUCGUCUGGGCUUUCGCAUCACCCUCACGACAAGCCUCCUUGUCGGUGUAAACGUGCCGUUGUGCACAGUGGAAGGCAGCUCCUGGCGGCGGCAUGGUAGACCCCAGGGCACCAGCCGGCGGGUGGGAGAGGUAGGGUGCCAAUACGAAUAGGUUUCACUCCCUGCGUCUGGCUCUGCCUCGUCUCCUCCGUGCCCCAAACCCGACGCGGCAGCCCUCGGAGCCCUUAGUAGAGUGUCCUCUCCCCCACAUUCCCGGAGGGGUGAUUGUGGAGUGCACGCGGACAGAAUCUCAGCGCGCGGGAAAUGUGUGCUGGGAUUUGUGGCUUCUCUCCAGAGCCCCUGGGUCAGACGGCGGCUCUUGACCCUGCCUCGCCGUCCAGGCCGUCUCCGUCCUCAAAGACACCGUCUGGUACCUAAUGGAGUGCUGGCCAAGAGAAAGGCAGGAAAGGGAGUCUCAGGAACACUGCCACUUGGAAGAACAGCCUUUCUGACAGACCCCUCACCGGAGCUUCAGAGCAGAGGCGGAAGGUUCCAGACGGGAGCAGGUCCAGAUUUGUUCCACCAGAAGCAGUUCUUGAUCCCUGUAUAGCAUGAAUCAGACUGGAUGAUGUCACCACGUCCAGAAGCCAUCACAGACUGUGUGACAGUGGACACUGUGGACCAGCUUGCAGAAGGUGGUAACCGGGCGUUGAGAGGGGUGGGUGACUGUCAGGCUGCCCAGGAAAAGGCAGCUCACUGGAUGGCUGGUGAGGACAUGGUGUCCGGGGAAGGUGUACCCAGCCAGUGCUGACAAAAUCCUCAACAGCACCCUGUUUCCUUCACUCUGCCCUCACUCUUCAGAUUCCGAGCUGCCCUCACACCAUGUUCAUCAGCACGUGUGGCGUCUAGAGUUAUGCCGAUGCUGCCUCUUUCCUGAACGUAGAGAAUAACGAAAUGAUAGUAGAAGAAGGGUUUUCUACACUGGGCGCCUUUGGAAGCCCAAAACUAUCAGGCCUGAAAUGAAUGGUUUUUGUAGAGUCAGCCAGGACAGAACCAAGAACUAAGCGUGGUGCUGCUGACUUACACGCGUCUGAACCUUCACAGUUCUUUACAUGCUUCCAGGAGUAGCAGAAAAUGAACAUAGCUCAGGUGAGUUCGAUUUUUGAUAACCUGUUUGUGUUACAAUGGAUUUUAUAAGGGCUUAAGUGUCUAUACGUUAACGUGGAAAAGUAGAAAUAGAAAUGGAUCAGAUGCGUUCAGAGAAGAUAUAGAAAUACAGUUGGAGAGCACAGCAAAGGUGGCGGGUGGAUAUAUGCAGGUCCUCUGACGUUACAAAUGUACUAUGUUUGGAGUUCCAAAUUUAUUUCUGAGGUUUUUGAUAGCUGUGUCAGGGUAUCCGACAUGAUAAUUCUUUAAAGGUUAACAUUGGUGAGAAGAUAAAGCAAACUGAUUCCUCAUAGGCUAUAAAGACAAUUGAAGAUAAAAAAAUAUCUUUGUUGUUUUCGAGUAGGUGAUUUAGUUAACAACUUCCAGUAAUAACCCUAAAAUAAUAUAGAGUGUUGCCUCUACUUGUUCUUCAGUAAAGGUAGAAGACGUAAUGCUGAAUGUGAACUCAGUCAAUACUAUUUUUCGGAAACUCAAACGCAGGGAUUGAAUGAGACAUUUUUCUGAUGGAUCAAAUGACUAUCCUUAAAAUUACUCUCCAUAAAUAUUUCGAGUACCCGUGAUUUUCAGGACGGUUUAAAAUCGUCAGCUCAGCAGUUUAAAAUCCUGUUAAAAUUGUCAGCUCAGCAGUUUAAAAUCCUGUUCUCUUUCAAGUGUUUCAACGCUUCCCGUCCCACUCUAAACUUGUGCAUGAGGCCUUGGUUUCUCUCCCCACUUGCCUGUGAUCUCCAGUGACCAGAGACUUGGUUAUAAUCAAAUCCAUUGGGUCUUGUCUAAUCCUUUCCUUACUUGACUUUUCUGUAGCACUUGCCUCUACUUCUCACACUGUCCUGGAAAGUUUCUCUGUUACUGUCUGUGACACCCUCCACUGGCUCUGUCCUUCUCCUGCUGAUGUCUUCACGGAGUCAUCUUC